AUUUGGAUCAGUGUUCUCAAGUGUUCUGCCGUUAGUUAAAAUAUACGUAUGUAAUGAUUGAAUUAUUAUGUGUAAUACUUUAUCAUAAGAUAAUUUCAUACCAAAUGGAUAUAUAAAUGUUUACACGCCCAUAAGUACCGUGGAAAAAGUUUUGAGAAAGCGCAUCCAAGCUGAUACUCAUGUGAUUGGUUGACAGUUUUAAAGACUUAGAGUCUAAUCUCACAAGAUACCGAUUACCCUGCUAUAAGCAUAAUAAGAUAUAAAUGAAACUGUUGGAAAUGAUGAUUGGUUCUAUGAAAAGAAAUUUCACAGUUCCUCUAUUUUUGCACAUGUAUUUCUCAGGCAUGUUACAUGACAGAGGAAUUUCUUGGAAUAACGUUACAUCCGUUUCACUUAGAUCAUUCCGCGGAUAGCUCAUCGGGAGAGCCUUCGCGCCGUUAAUUACCCCAUCGUUCGCUGUGUCGUCGCAUCGAUCAACUUUUCAAGCCGAGCGCCGACCGGCGAAAUUCUCGUCGAACCAUGGUAAAA